AACUUCUUAAUGCGUUUGAGCCGAUCAGUUGUUUUGUGACAAGGUAGGGGUGGUAUACACAAGAUAUUUGGUAAAAGACCAAGUCCAUAUGAGGGCAAGAACAGCUCAAACAAGCAAAGAGAAGCAACAGUCCAUCACUACGUUAAGACAUGAAGGUCAGUCAAUCCGGAAUAUUUCAAGAACUUUUAACGUUUUUCUUUGAGUACGCGUGUCCAAACUUUUGACUGGUACUGUAUGUUUCCAAGAUGUAUUUUUAGAAACAAUACAAAACAUACAAAUGACUACAUCAUACAAACAUCACUACACCCCUCCUGCCCACUAGCCCCACCCCUAUCUCUAGCACAUGGUCUCAAACUGCAUUUAAAAAAAAUCUUUGUUGAUAUUAUGGCAAGAACAGCUCAAAUAAGCAAAGAAAAACAACACUCCAUCAUUACUUUAAGACAUGAAGGUCAGUCAAUCCAGAAAAUUUCAAGAGCUCUGAAAGUUUCUUCAAGUGCAGUCACAAAAAACAUCAAGUGCUAUGAUGAAACUGGCUCUCAUGAGGACCACCACAGGAAAGGAAGCCCCAGAGUUACCUCUGCUGCAGAGGAUCAGUUCAUUAGACUUACCAGCGACAGAAAUUGCAGCCCAAAUAAAUGCUUCACAGAGUUGAAGCAAUAGAUACAGCUCAACAUCAGCUGUUCAGAAGAGACUGCGUGAAUCAGGCCUUCAUGGUCAAAUUGCUGCAAAGAAACCACUACUAAAGGACACCAAUAAGAAGAAGAGACUUGCUUGGGCCAAGAAACAUGAGCAAUGGACAUUAGACUGGUGGAAAUCUGUCUUUCUUGGGGACCUGAAUGUUGACUGGUUUUCAUCAAGCUGUCUGCUCAAGAGGAAGCUUCUCAAUGUAACCAGUGCCUGUAAUCUGGUUCAGGUUAUUAAGCCUGAAUGCCAAGCGUCAAAUCUGGAGGAAACCUGGCGCCAUCCCUACGGUGAAGCAUGGUGGUGGCAGCAUCAUGCUGUGGGGAUAUUUUUCUGAGGCAGGGACUAGGAAACUAGUCAGGAUCGAGGGAAAGAUGAACGGAGCAAAGUACAGAGAGAUCCUUGAUGAAAACCUGCUCCAGAGUGCUCAGGACGAUCAGACUGGGGCGAAGGUUCACCUUCCAACAGGACAACAACCUUAAGUGUAACAGGAUAGCGGGAGAUCGCGAACGUCAGGUCUUCCCAGUAUGAAAAUGUGAUGCAAGGGGUAGGUCACGUUCUGAAUACUGUUUUCUAUUUUCUAUUUUACAAUGUGUACAGGUUUGCUGUACGUUACUGAUUUAUACAUGUGUGGGUAUAUGGUACCUGUUAGGGAUUGAGGGGAUUUCUGGGAUGUGCUUUGGCAUAUGAUUGCUGUAAAUAAGUGUGUUACCUAGCAUACACCUAUGUAAGGGUCACAUAAGCCACUACUAACACAGUUGUCUUCAUGCUACAGAUUUUGCCAUCAAUACCGUUAAGCCCUGCACAACUAACAUGCUGUUUCCCAUUUAUCAACAGGUAUUUACACAUGUUAUAUUUUGUAUUAUAUUUUUGUAUUUUGUUCACCCAGUAUGAAAAUGUGAUGCAAGGGAUUUUGCCAUCGACGGCCAUCAAUACCGUUAAGCCCUGCACAACUAACGUGCUGUUUCCCAUUUAACAACAGAAAUAAAUGAUGCUCAACUGGGACCACUGGCCGAAGUGAUUUAUGUUGAGAAAACACAAUGCAUGGAGAGUACAUAUACAUCUGUUACAUAAGCACACAGCCAAGACAAUGAAGGAGUGGCUUCGGGACAAGUUUCUGAAUGUCCUUGAGUGGCCCAGCCAGAGCCCAAACUUGAACCCAUUCUAACAUCUCUGGAGAGACCUGAAAAUAGUUGUGCAGCGAAGCUCCCCAUCCAACCUGGCAGAGCUUGAGAGGAUCUGCAGAGAAGAAUGGGAGAAACUCCCCAUAGACAGGUGUGCCAAGCUUGUAGCAUCAUACCCAAGAAGACUCAAGGCUGUACUCGCUGCCAAAGAUGCUUCAACAAAGCACUGAGAAAAGGGU
ensembl:lncRNA